GCGGAGCGCGUCGUCCCCCUCAGGCCUCCAGAGCCCGGAUGCCUCCGAAAUUCGGCUCUGGGUCUGUGGGGAGCGAAAUGCUACCCAAACCCGUUGUUUCCG
rnacentral:pre_miRNA from 1 species